rnacentral:rRNA from 1 species
CGCGUAGGUGGUUUUGUAAGUCAGAUGUGAAAUCCUCCGGCUCAACUGGAGAACGGCAUCUGAAACUGCAGGACUCGAGUACAGAAGAGGGAAACGGAAUUCCCGGUGUAGAGGUGAAAUUCGUAGAUAUCGGGAGGAACACCGGUGGCGAAGGCGGUUUCCUGGUCUGAUACUGACACUGAGGCGCGAAAGCGUGGGGAGCAAACAGGAUUAGAUACCCUGGUAGUCCACGCCGUAAACGGUGAGUACUGGGUGUGGGAGGCGUAAUGCCUUCUGUGCCGAAGCUAACGCGUUAAGUACUCCGCCUGGGGAGUACGGCCGCAAGGUUGAA